GGAUCAGGAAGAUCCUCUGGAGAAGGAAAUGGCAACCCACUCCAGUAUUCUUGCCUGGAGAAUCCCCAUGGACAGAGAAGCCUGGUGGGCUACAGUCCAUGGGAUCGUAAAGAGUCAGACAGGACUGAAGUGACCUAGCACGCACAUAAAGGAGGGUGGUUCUUUGGCUAAGAGUAUGGGAGUAGCUAUGCUCCUGCUAGAACCUCCAAACAGACUCUUGAGAUCCAUUUGUAGGAGAAUGUAGGCUUGUCAAGACUCCAAGACUCCACACACAUCCAAUGAGGCGCUGCAAAGCAGUCUGCCCUUCUU
ensembl:misc_RNA 7SK 7SK RNA